rnacentral:rRNA from 1 species
CAUGCAAGUCGAGGGGCAGCAUAAAUUACUUGUAAUUUGAUGGCGACCGGCGAACGGGUGCGUAACGCGUAUGCAACUUACCUUUUACUAGAGAAUAGCCAAGAGAAAUUUUGAUUAAUGCUCUAUGUUCUUAUUUACUCGCAUGAGUAAAUAAGCAAAGCUCCGGCGGUAAAAGAUGGGCAUGCGUCCUAUUAGCUUGUAGGUGAGGUAAUGGCUCACCUAAGCUCCGAUAGGUAGGGGUCCUGAGAGGGAGAUCCCCCACACUGGUACUGAGACACGGACCAGACUUCUACGGAAGGCAGCAGUAAGGAAUAUUGGACAAUGGAGGCAACUCUGAUCCAGCCAUGCCGCGUGAAGGAAGACGGCCUUAUGGGUUGUAAACUUCUUUUAUACAGGAAGAAACCUUUCCACGUGUGGAAAGUUGACGGUACUGUAAGAAUAAGGAUCGGCUAACUCCGUGCCAGCAGCCGCGGUAAUACGGAGGAUCCAAGCGUUAUCCGGAAUUAUUGGGUUUAAAGGGUCCGCAGGCUGUUUGUUAAGUCAGAGGUGAAAUCCUACCGCUCAACGGUAGAACUGCCUUUGAUACUGGCAAACUUGAGUUAUUGUGAAGUAGUUAGAAUGUGUAGUGUAGCGGUGAAAUGCAUAGAUAUUACACAGAAUACCGAUUGCGAAGGCAGAUUACUAACAAUAAACUGACGCUGAGGGACGAAAGCGUGGGUAGCGAACAGGAUUAGAUACCCUGGUAGUCCACGCCGUAAACGAUGGUCACUAGCUGUUCGAUGUACAUUGGUACGUUGAGUGGCUAAGCGAAAGUGAUAAGUGACCCACCUGGGGAGUACGCUCGCAAGAGUGAAACUCAAGGAAUUGACGGGGCCCGCACAGCGGUGAGCAUGUGGUUUAUUCGAUGAUACGCGAGACCUUACAGGCUUAAUGUAAGUUGCAUG